GGCCCUAUUGUGUUGAAAUACUAGUUCUCAUACGAUCACCUAAGUUAAACAACAUUGAGCCUGGUCAGUACCUAAAUGGGUGACCAUUUGGGAAUACAAGGUUCUGUAA